rnacentral:rRNA from 1 species
GUGCCAGCCGCCGCGGUAAAACGUAGGUACCGAGCGUUAUCCGGAUUCACUGGGCGUAAAGCGCGUGCAGGUGGUUUUAUAAGUCGGGCAUGAAAUCUCUUGGCUCAACUGAGAGAAGCUGUCCGAUACUGUUGAACUUGAGGGUGUAAGAGGGAGGUGGAAUUCCGCAUGUAGUGGUGAAAUGCGUAGAUAUGCGGAGGAACACCAGUGGCGAAGGCGGCCUCCUGGUACACUCCUGACACUCAGACGCGAAAGCUAGGGGAGCGAACGGGAUUAGAAACCCCUGUAGUCC